GAUCAGUGGAGGGGGGAGACGAGCUAUCACACAGCGGCGAAUACCGCGUGCGACUCCGUUCUUGUGCAAACAGAGUCAUCUCUCUGUUUUCUCCACCUCUCGGCUCCGUGCUGGAUCCCUUCUGGGGGGGGGAUAAUAACACGACACCAUUAAGUCAGUCUACGGCUGUAGAGUUCUGCUCCAUUUCGUGGCUGUUCUGAAUGACGGGCGGACGGUUCGACUUCGACGAUGGAGGAACAUACUGCGGAGGAUGGGAGGACGGCAAAGCCCACGGACAUGGCAUCUGUACCGGGCCCAAAGGCCAGGGCGAGUACGCCGGCUCCUGGUCGCACGGCUUUGAGAUAGUGGGGGUGUACACCUGGCCCAGCGGGAAUAUGUACCAUGGCUACUGGUCUCUGGGGAAGCGGCAUGGACUGGGAGUCGAAACCAAAGGGAAGUGGAUUUACCGUGGUGAGUGGAGUCACGGCUUCAAGGGUCGCUAUGGACUCCGACAGAGCCACAAUACACCUGCGAGGUACGACGGGACGUGGAGUAACGGGCUACAGGACGGAUAUGGGAUCGAGACCUACGGCGACGGUGGUACAUUCCAGGGCCAGUGGAUGGGUGGGAUGCGUCACGGUUACGGCGUGCGCCAGAGUGUUCCGUACGGCAUGGCCACGGUAAUACAGUCCCCACUCCGUACCUCCCUGGUGUCCCUGCGCUCCGAGCAGAGUAACGGCGCCGUGCUCCAGGAUCUCUCGGGUGACACUCCCACCGGCGGCCGCGGCGGGUUCGUCCUCAACUUCCACUCGGAUAGCGAAGUGGUCACCGGGAAGAAGAAGAAGAAGGGGCUGUUCCGCCGCGGGUCGCUGUUCGGGAGCCUCCGCCGGCUCCACAAGUCCGAAUCGAAGUCGUCCAUCUCCAGCAAGAGGAGCUCGGCACUCAGCGACGCCGCUAUGAGCCGCAUCAGCUCCUCCGACGCAGACGCCAACUCCACCGUCUCCCUGGGCGACGCAGAGCUGCCGGAAGAGGACCUGCUAUUGGAGGAUCACGUGGACGCCACCACCACCGAGACGUACAUGGGGGAGUGGAAGAACGACAAGCGCAACGGGUUCGGCGUCAGCGAACGUUCCAACGGGAUGAAGUACGAGGGGGAGUGGCUGAACAACAAGCGCCACGGUUACGGGUGCACCACCUUCCCCGAGGGCAACAAGGAAGAAGGGAAGUACAAGAAUAACGUGCUGGUGCGUGGAAUAAGGAAGCAGUUGAUCCCGCUAAAGAACCCCAAAACCAAAGAGAAAGUGGACCGGGCCGUGGAGGGAGCGCAGAGGGCAGGGGCUAUCGCCAGGACGAAAGUGGAAAUAGCAGCUUCGAGGACGGCUCAUGCCAGGACGAAGGGAGAGGCCGCAGACCAGGCAGCUCUCUCUGCCAGACAGGAUUGUGACAUCGCUAGGGCCGUCGCUAGGGAGCUGUCCCCAAACUUCCACCAACCAGGUCCUGACUAUAUCAUGCAGGCGUUCAUGGAGCCAGUGGAGAUCCCCAAGGACCCCCCCUGCCCCGCCCCUCCCCCCUCGCCCCACAGCAAGAAGAGACAGCACAGCAACAGCAUCCCCACCCCCGCCUCCCGCAAGACCAGCAAAGACGAAUCAUCACACAGCCGCAAGGUCAGCAAAGAGGAGAAGUCGGGCCUUAAGAUCAGCAAGGACGAACGGUCGAGCAGGAAGUUGAGUAAAGAGGAGAGGGUGUCCAUCGCUGCCGAGCGGCCCACAGCUGCUUCUCCCUCUUCCCAGGUAAUAUACCAGGAGGCUCCAGCUCCAGCCGAACCCCACAAGGCCCCGGAGCCUAGCCCCACCAACGCACCACUUCCCCAGGCUGCUGCUCCACAGACGGUGGUGGGUCCUGGUAAUGGAAUGGGUCAGCUCCACUCUCAGUACCAUAGCUACUACGUCAAAGCCCCCUCCAGGGGGCCCCUGCCCCCGGAUCCCGAGCCCGAGGAGGACGAGGAGCCCAGUCAGCUGACCCUGGCCAGGAUGGCCCCGCCGCCCCCCAAGCCGACGCCCACCAGCGAGCCGAGCAAACUCAGGAAGCAGGAUUGGCUGAAACCAAAGAGCCUGGCGGAGACCAAGCAGGCCAGUAUGGAGACGGCUGAGGGGCAGGAGGACGCAAAUGCUCCUAACUCUAUCCUGGUUGCUAUGGUGAUGCUGUUGAAUAUCGGCCUAGCCAUCAUAUUCGUCCACUUCCUGACAUGAUGGUCCUGUGUCUCAGUGAUGCCAUGGCAACUGGUGCAGUUGCGUUGCCGGCCUUUAAAAAUCAAAAUGGCGGCUGUCAGACUCGGGGGCGGCCGCAGGAGUUUGGGAAACAGCUGUUUGACACAGGAGAGAAACAGAAGAGGCAGGAGAGAAGGACCCGCAGCCUGUCCUGGGUCGUCCACAUCCCUGCCAGAUCAUAAUACUCUCCUCUGGAGCCUGUGAAAGAACAAACUGACAUGUCUGAGGGAGAUAGUAAAAACACUACAACAGAAAACGGAGAUGUGAGCACCGCGAGGCCAGAGGACUGAGUUGCAGAGAGGUGCACGUUCCAACAUUCCCACGUACUGAGGUUCUAAGGUUCUAGUGUUCUGAGGUUCUAAGGUUCUAGUGUUCUGAGGUUCUAAGGUUCUAGUGUUCUGAGGUUCUAACCACCCCUUGCUGAAGGAAAGUGGAUGUACCGAACAUUAACCAUCAGUGCUAGCACGGUCACUCGCCAGUCUUACUCUGUUAACCAAUUACCAUCCAUCUAGCUCAUCCCUCUAGCGCCUCCCACCUUUACCCAGGAGACAAAGCUUUGACACUUUCACUCCCGAUGCAUGGAAAUGUUUUGAUGACGUGUGUUUUUGUUGGAGCUUCAGGGCUUGUGUCAAUUACGUCCGCUUUUUGCCAACAUCUGCGGUUGUUCUGACGGUGUUGGAGGUGGAACUCCAUUAGAGCUGUCAAAUCCACGAAUGGCUCCCGGUAUUAUAGCUAAAGCGGACAUUGCCAUUGGCUGCACGGAGUCGCAUUAACAGAAAUCCCAUGCAGCCUUGUUUACAAGUUCAAACACUAGAAUGUGAGAUGUGAUCUACACCUCCAUUACGAUGAUAGAAAUCCUCAUUAUUUUGUUGAAUGAUUUUUCAAUUUGAGCGUAAUUAUUUCUAUAUAGCCUACACUUCCUCCUUCUGAACUUCUAACGGGAGUGGAACGGGUGUCGCUUCAUGACACUGAUCAAGAGCAGCUGCUCACCGAUUUGACCGCUCCGACCCAGUUCCACCUCCGACACCACCAAAACAUCAGCUAUGCGGGUGUCGGCUGUUGCCGGUUAACGCUUGAUCUGAUUGAGUCUAGGCCUUCGUUUUAGAUUUUAGUUUUCUUUUUGUUGGUUACCUGCAGUCGUAGACGUGUAGUUAAGAAAAAGGUAAACUAAUAUUGAUUGUCAUUGACAAGAGUAAUUUUAUUUUGGUAUCAUGAAUAAAUAUCGUAACGAUUCUAUUCCUUCAUAAUGAGAAAAUGAUAUCCUCAUUUUAUUAAAUGUGCAAUAUGAUUUAUUUUUUAAAAAGACGGAUUAUAUAUUUUGCCAACAAAGGGUCUAGUCUAUUGAGCAUUUUAACUGUUGUGAAAAUCUGCUUCUGUUAUUUUAUCAUAAAACAGGAAAAAUUAGCAUAAUCUGAAUAGAUGAGGCAGGGAGAUUAACAGUAGGAUUUGAGGAAGGAAGCGACACUGUAGCAAGCCUUAGCUCUAUGUGACUGAAGGAUGAAAAGUCUUAUAAAUUAUGUCAUUUAUUCAAUCCAAAAGAUUAACUAUUAUUAUUAGACAAUUGUGUAUGGGAUUUACUUUGAUUCUUCUUCUCUGCUUUCAAUAUUAAAACCACUAAGCUGUAAACAGGAAGUUAAGCAGUUGUCUGGGUUUAGUCAAAUAAAAGAAACCUGUUGUUAUUGUGAUAAGGGACUAAAGUCCUCUUGCAUGUCAGUGAGACUGAUGAGAAUGAACUUCCUGGAUUGAUUAUCAGAACUAGAAUUGAUUCUAGAAUUGAUUCUAUUAAUUCUCAGAACUAGAACUGAUUCUAGAAUUGAUUCUAUUGAUUCUAAGAAGAAAGUUGGUGUAGAAUUUAUUCAGGUUGAAUUCAGGGGAUAAUAUGUGGUACCUAUGGUUAUGUGGUUAGGAGUAAUGCCUUUAAAAAAAAUCUUGAACAGUCCUACUGUUUGUUUACCUCAGAAGAAGAUGAGGAAGAGGGGGGCCUCAUUAAGAGAUGAAGGAUGUGUCUUAAUUGUGUUGUGUACGGAGUGACCUGACUGUUGCAAUCAAAAAGAGGUGAUUUAUAAAACUUGCCACUACAUUGUAACUGUUAGUCUUUGUUGCAGGAACAGCAUGAUUAUUAUUUUAAUUUUUAUGGAGUACGUAUAUAAAUAACAUUUGCUGUUAUCCACUUCAAAGAUUAUGUAUUUAUAUGUUCAUCAUACAUGUUUUGAGUAUUUUGGUCUUUGUGAAAAAGGGCCUGAAAAGUGGAAAGAUCUUUGUUUUUUGUAAUUUCAUUUAUGGCAUCCUACUAGUUUGCAUGGUCUAUUGACGAAACACUUGAUACAAGAGCCAGUAUGAAGUGCUGUACUUUGAGAGACUCCAAGCCUCUUCUGACAUUGACUGGUCUGUGGAUUCUGAUUGGUCCUACAGUGUUCAUGUCAAGUGCAAUCCACCACAAUAGAACACAUUUAUAGCAAAGAAACGAUGAAACAUUUCUAACCAUAAAACAUGUUAUUUUUUUCAAAGCAACUUUGCAUUGUGUUGAAUCUGUCUCGUUGAUGUAUGAACCACACCCAAUGUACUGCAGUUUGCUAUACACCUACCUGACAAUAUAACAACCCUUCUCAUUGGAGAUCCAUUUCCUUCCUGCCUUUUCCCUCCGUUUUCACAGAGCAGGGUGAGAGCCGUAAUCUACGAGGAGUUAAAACAGGAAGUACUUGGGAUAUUUUUUUUAAAGCAACGUUGCAUAUUGGAAACCUUUUAUAUAUAGAAUAUAUACUAUUUGUAAGGAUUUCUACAGAGUACAAUCCAGAAACGGGUAUAAAUUGAUAUUUUUCUAACGAUUUGCACACCUGUAUUUUGACAAUGAUAAAAUAUAUAUAAGGAUAAUAUAAGGAUAUAACAUGUUUGUUUUUGGGUAUUGUAAUGCACAUACGGUAACAUUUUAUGAAAAUCCUUAUUUCUAAUGGGUUGUAGGAGUUGAUGUAUCAUUUGGGGGAGGACGCAAGAUGCUGGUUAUACUUGUUUUGACUGUUUUAUCAAAUGAUGAGGAACUGUGUGAGACUUCUCAAAGUAUGGCGUCACCCCACUGAUUUGUGCAGUCUUUUGGAGAUGUAUUUGUGUGUAUAACAAUAAAGAAGUUAUGCCCCUGUA